GCCGCGGAGGCCGUUGACUGCCUGGUGGAUGCCCUUCGGGGAGGCAUCAGGUGGAGACUGGGCAGGCAACCGGAGGAGGAAAUAUCGGAGAAGAUGAUCGGAGGUGGUCCCAUUGAGCGCUCUUUUAAAAACAAGUGUACUACGAAGACACAGUCCCCUUCCUCUAGCGCCAAUCCUGUUGGUGCAAAAAUCCAUCGGCAUCGGAGAAGCUGGAGUCGAGGGAGCCACGGUCGCCAUUGGGACCUGCAAAGAAAGUCUAAACCGGAGUUGGGGGUGCUCCGACAAGAC
rnacentral:lncRNA from 1 species